rnacentral:rRNA from 1 species
UGCCUAACACAUGCAAGUCGAACGAAGCUUGAGGAAUGAUUUCUUCGGAAUGAAUUCUGAUAUGACUUAGUGGCGGACGGGUGAGUAACACGUGAGCAACCUGCCUUUCAGAGGGGGAUAACGGCUGGAAACGGUCGCUAAUACCGCAUGAUAUGUUUGGAUGGCAUCAUCUGAACAUCAAAGAUUUAUCGCUGAAAGAUGGGCUCGCGUCUGAUUAGAUAGUUGGUGAGGUAACGGCUCACCAAGUCGACGAUCAGUAGCCGGACUGAGGGGUUGAACGGCCACAUUGGGACUGAGAUACGGCCCAGACUCCUACGGGAGGCAGCAGUGGGGAAUAUUGCACAAUGGGGGAAACCCUGAUGCAGCAACGCCGCGUGAAGGAAGACGGUUUUCGGAUUGUAAACUUCUUUUCUUUGUGAAGAAACAAAUGACGGUAGCAAAGGAAUAAGCAUCGGCUAACUACGUGCCAGCAGCCGCGGUAAUACGUAGGAUGCAAGCGUUAUCCGGAUUUACUGGGUGUAAAGGGAGCGCAGGCGGGACUUCAAGUUGGAUGUGAAAGGUCAAGGCUUAACCUUGGCACUGCAUCCAAAACUGUAGUUCUUGAGUGGAGUAGAGGUAAGCGGAAUUCCGAGUGUAGCGGUGAAAUGCGUAGAUAUUCGGAGGAACACCAGUGGCGAAGGCGGCUUACUGGGCUCUAACUGACGCUGAGGCUCGAAAGUGUGGGGAGCAAACAGGAUUAGAUACCCUGGUAGUCCACACUGUAAACGAUGAUAGCUAGGUGUGGGGGGUCUGACCCCUUCCGUGCCGGAUUUACGCAAUAAG